UUAUUGUUCUGACCAUGCACAAUCUAAAGAAGAGUUUCAUCUCUACAGACAUGCUGGGCCUGGGAGCUCACCCAAGUCAGAAGAAACAAGAGGGCAUUAUGAAAGAGCCAGACCUGAAGAGUAGCGCCUCCCCCAGGUGACAGAGCUGGAGCUGAGGCUGGUGGCAGGAUUCUGACUUUGAAGAGGAUGAGACACAUUGGUUUGAUAAGGCUGAAUGGCCUCUCAGCCUGAGUUGAAAGGAGGUGAAUUUCAACCCAUUUCCCACAUGCUUCCACUUUUGUUGACUUACCAGCCAAAGAGGGGAUGUAUGAGUGUCUGUGGACACCUGGUGGCAGUUUAGAGGAAUUAAAACCAGGUCAUCAGAGAGUGGAGCUCUGUGUACAUUGCGCAGGUAUGUGUCAUGGGUCCCAAAACACUGCCUAGGUUUGGAAGCUA
rnacentral:lncRNA from 1 species